rnacentral:tRNA from 1 species
GUUUAUAUAGCUUAUCUACUUAGAGCAUUUCAGUGAAGUUGAAAAGGAAAUAAAUUAUUUUUAAACG